GACGGACGCUGGCGGCGUGCUUAACACAUGCAAGUCGAACGAAGAACUAGAGAUGAAUUCUUCGGAAGAUUUUAGUACUUAGUGGCGGACGGGUGAGUAACGCGUGAGCAACCUGCCCAUAAGAGGGGGAUAACAGCUGGAAACGGCUGCUAAUACCGCAUAAGACCACAUUGCCACAUGGCAGAGGGGUCAAAGAUUUAUCGCUUAUGGAUGGGCUCGCGUCUGAUUAGCUAGUUGGUAGGGUAACGCCUACCAAGGCGACGAUCCAGUAGCCGACCUGAGAGGGUGAUCGGGCCAC
rnacentral:rRNA from 1 species